CAUGACGGUUAGCAAGAACAAGUGCCAUACAAAAGGUGGCAAAAAGGGAACCGAGAAGAAAGUGGUUGCUUCAUUUUCUAAGAUAUAUUGGUAUAAUGUAAAAGCACCUGCUAUGUUCAGUAUAAGAAAUAUUGGAAAGGCACUGGUCAUAGGGACUCAUGGAACCGAUUUUGUAUCUGAUGGCUUCAAGGGUGGACUGAUUGAGGUGAGUCUUGGUGAUGUGCAGAAUGAUGAAAUUGCAUUCAGAAAAUUCAAGCCAAUUACUAAAGAUGUUCAGGGCAAAAACUGCCUGAAAACUUCCAUGACAUGAAUCUUGCCCAUGACAAAAUGUGUUUCAUGGUCAAAAAGUGGCAGAUCAUUAUUGAAGCUCAUGUUGCUGUUAAAACUAUAGAUGGUUAUUUGCUUUGUCUGUUCUGUGUCAGUUUUACUAAAAAUGUGCAAUGGUCAGAUACCAGAGACAGAGGACCUCUUACACUCAGCACCAACAGGUCCACCAAAUUUGAAGGAAGUCAUGACCUGAGAGGUACAGACAAAUAAUUUGAAAGAAAUGGUCAAUAAAUAGAUUCCAGACAGCAUCGGAAAAGACAAAGAAAAGGCUUGCCGAUCUAUUUAUCCUCUUCAUGAUGUUUUUGUUAGAAAAGUAAAAAUGCUGAAGAAGCCCAAGUUUGAAUUGGGAAAACUCAUGGAGCUUCAUGGAGAAGGCAGAAGUUCUGGAAAAGCUACUGGGAAUGAAAGUGGUGCUAAGUUGAAUGAGCUGAUGGAUAUGGAUCACCAGCCCAAAAAU
rnacentral:lncRNA from 1 species